GAACGCUGGCGACAUGCCUUACACAUGCAAGUCGAACGGCAGCACGGGUGCUUGCACCUGGUGGCGAGUGGCGAACGGGUGAGUAAUACAUCGGAACAUGUCCUGUAGUGGGGGAUAGCCCGGCGAAAGCCGGAUUAAUACCGCAUACGAUCUACGGAUGAAAGCGGGGGACCUUCGGGCCUCGCGCUAUAGGGUUGGCCGAUGGCUGAUUAGCUAGUUGGUGGGGUAAAGGCCUACCAAGGCGACGAUCAGUAGCUGGUCUGAGAGGACGACCAGCCACACUGGGACUGAGACACGGCCCAGACUCCUACGGGAGGCAGCAGUGGGGAAUUUUGGACAAUGGGCGAAAGCCUGAUCCAGCAAUGCCGCGUGUGUGAAGAAGGCCUUCGGGUUGUAAAGCGCUUUUGUCCGGAAAGAAAUCCUUGGCCCUAAUACGGUCGGGGGAUGACGGUACCGGAAGAAUAAGCACCGGCUAACUACGUG
rnacentral:rRNA from 1 species